GUGGGGAAUCUUCCGCAAUGGACGAAAGUCUGACGGAGCAACGCCGCGUGAGCGAAGAAGGUUUUCGGAUCGUAAAGCUCUUUCGUUAGGGACGAACGUGCUCUUUGUGAAUAAUGAGGAGUAAUGACGGUACCUAAAUAAGAAGCCACGGCUAACUACGUGCCAGCAGCCGCGGUAAUACGUAGGUGGCAAGCGUUGUCCGGAAUUAUUGGGCGUAAAGCGCGCGCAGGCGGGAUAUCAAGUCUGUCUUAAAAGUGCGAGGCUCAACCUCGUGAGGGGACAGAAACUGGUAUUCUUGAGUGUCGGAGAGGAAAGUGGAAUUCCAAGUGUAGCGGUGAAAUGCGUAGAGAUUUGGAAGAACACCAGUGGCGAAGGCGACUUUCUGGACGAUGUCUGACGCUGAGGCGCGAAAGCUAGGGGAGCGAACGGGAUUAGAUACCCUUGUAGUCC
rnacentral:rRNA from 1 species